AUCCGUUGAGCCUGGGAGUCGUCGGUUGCAGUGAGCCAAGAUCACACCACUGCACUCUAGCCUGGGCAACAGAGCAAAACUGUUUCAAAAAUAAAUAGGCCAGGCGUGGUGGCUCAUGGCUGUAAUCCCAGCACUUUGGGAGGCUGAGGCAGGUGGAUCACCUGAGGUCAGGAGUUCGAGACCAGCCUGACCAACAUGGAGAAAUCCCGUCUUGAAUAAAAAUACAAAAAAAUUAGCCAGACUUGGUGGCGCAUGCCUGUAAUCCCAGCUACGUGGGAGGCUGAGGCAGGAGAAUCACUUGAACCUGGGAAGCGGAGGUUGUGGUGAGCCGAGAUUGCGCCAUUGCACUCCAGCCUGGGCAAUAAGAAUGAAACUGUCUCAAAAAUAAUAGGCUGGGCACGGUGGCUCACACCUGUGAUCCCAGCACUUUGGGAGGCUGAGGCAGGCAGAUCACCUGAGGUCAGGAGUUUGAGACCAGCCUCGUCAACAUAGUGAAACCCUGUCUCUACUAAAGAUAAAAAAAAUUAGCCAGGCAUACUGGCGCACGCCUGUAGUCCCAGCUUCGCGGGAGACUGAGGCAGGAGAAUCGCUUGAACCAGGGAGGCGGAGGUUGCAGUGAGCCAAGAUUGUGCCACUACACUCCAGCCUGGGCAACAGAGCGAGACUCCGUCUCAAAAUAAGUAAAUAAAGGCCUGAAACGUACAUUUUGCACCACUGCACUCCAGCCUGAGUGACAGGCUGAGACCCUGUCUCAAAAAAAAAAGGAAAAGCUAUCAUGCCUAGUUUUGUAUUUUACCCAUAAUGGGUUGACCUUCCACCCCCAAUACUUGCACUGACAAGACUUUUUUGUCUUUGCUACUCACAUGAACUGUCCUGCUCUGACAAGCAGCUUUGUAGCCUGCUUAGGUAACGGUGACAGCAUUUCCUACAAGGAGUUCGCUAUAAGCCAGCAAGGUAGGGAGGAUGGAAAUGAGAGUGCAGAAUCAAGUGCCUUUCUGCUGUAAACCAUACCUUCAACUUUUCAUUCCCAUGAGAGUAAUAACCUUCAUUUAUUUCACUAUUGUAUCAUAGUUCAAAGUCUUAGCAGGGCAACAUACAACCCAUCUCUACCAAAAAAUUAAAAAAAUAAGACAGGCAUGGUGGUGCGUGCCUGUUUUCCCAGCUUCUCGGGAGGCUGAGGUGGGACGAUUGCUUGAGUCCAGGAGGCAGAGGCUGCAGUAAACUGAGAUCACACCACUGCAUUCCAGCCUGGGUGACCAAGACCUUGUGUCAAAGAAAAAAAAGCCUAACGGGAACAUAUACAGGUCUCAUUUCUAAGGAACCUGGGCCAGGCUGCUGAUCAGUACUUCAGUUUUGGGGUGUUUCUCAAAUGUUUCUUUAUCAAUACUGAUUGCUAACUUAUCUCCCCUCAUUCUCUGGUUACUCCUGUUGUUCUUGAGCAAGGACCGUGUCAUUCUGAAUAAAACCUGUUAUUUUUAGUAAAUAGCACUACAUCCAUUCUUCCUGAAGAAGCUUGAAUAGUGACAUGGUUUGGCUCUUUGUCCUCACCCAAAUCUCAUCUCAAAUUGCCAUCCCCCACAUGUCGAGGGAGGGACCUAGUGGGAGGUGAUUGAAUCUGGGGCGGUUUCCCCCAUGCUGUUCUCUUGAUAGUGGUUCUCAUGAGAUCUGAUGGUUUAAAAGGUGUGGCCCUUCCUUGCUCUGGCUCUCCCCUGCUGCCGUAUAAGAAGUGCCUUGCUUCCCUUUCCCCUUCCACCAUGAUUAAGUUUCCUGAGGCUUCCCCAGCCAUCCGGAACUGAGUCAAUUAAACCUUUCCUUUCUAAAUUACCCAGUCUCAGGCAGGCUUUUGUUUUCUUUUGUUUUGUUUUGUUUUUUUGUUUUUGAGACGGAGUUUUGCUCUUGUUGCCCAGGCUGGAGUGCAAUGGUGCGAUCUCAGCUCACUGCAACCUCCGCCUCCUGGGUUCAAGCGAUUCUCCUGCCUCAGUCUCCUGAGUAGUAGUAUUUUUAGUAGAGAC
rnacentral:lncRNA from 1 species